GCCUGGGUGGCUCAGUGGUUGAGCACCUGCCUUCGGCUCAGGUCCCAGGAUCCGGGAUUGAGUCCUGCAUCAGGCU
rnacentral:tRNA from 1 species